CCGGGCGGGCUUCACCGCGUGGGUGCGGCAGUCGCCACUCACCGAGGUUGACGACCUUGAGCGCCGUGAAGAAGCGGUUCUGCCGGGCCAGACAGGGUUUUGCCAUGUUGCCUAGGCUGGUCUAGAACUCCUAGGCUCAAAUGAUCUGCCUGCCUCGGCCUCCCAAAGUGCUGGGAUUACAGGCGUCUGUUUCUCCUCUCCAGCUCAACUCUGCUUCUCUUCUUACUAAGGAAAGAGAUCAAGGGGAUUCUUGUGAGCAAGGUUCUUCCUGGUACCUGAUUGGGCAACUGGAUGAAGAAGAGGGAAAGGAAAAGGCUGCCUGAGCCCCCCAAGACAUCAGGUGCCCUCCUUAUGGUGACUGCAGAGAUCCUCGGAAGAGUCAAAGGUUAUUCAAAUCCAGACUGGACCCAAAGGGGUUCACAGAAAGGCAGGAGACCGCUUGGAAAAGAGACAAGAUCUUGUUGCCCAGGCUGGUCUCAAACUCCUGGGUUCAAAUGAUACUCUCGCCUUGGCCUCCCAAAGUGUUGGGAUUGCAGACCUGAGCUACUAUGCCUGGCUGAAUUCUAUUUCUAUUGGAUUGGUUGUAAAGAAGUGCAUUGUAGCCUGCAAAGGAGCAGGGCCAGUGGGGUGGAGAGGGCAGAAGUGCUACAGAGGCCCCUGCUCUCCACUGCCCUGACUGCUACUGUGCUGGAUGCCGUGUGAACCACAGCUGCAUCUGGAGGCCUUGGGCAGGCUUUUCCAAUUUGGAGGCACAAAUAAGUGAGAACUUGGGGAUCCACUGAGGUCUGAGGCACGGUGGUACCAGAGGAGAUGAAGGGGCUUUCAGCAUGAAGCUGGUCCCCUGUCGACAGCACGCUGAUUUUCCCGUUGGGCUCUAUCAGCAUGUCCACUGUCAGACCAUGCUUGUGAAAAUACCAGGACGGUAAAUUAGUGAAUUCCAAAGUCAGGAUUUUUGUUGGAUCUGGCACAGUCACAGGAAAGUCUGAGUUUUCUCAAGGGCAUCCCUGUCUCACCGAGGGGCACCAAGGACAGACGACCAGAAGCAAAUGGCGCAGUCACCGUCAGAGGAGAGUAAAACUCAUUCUGAAACGGUUCCAAAUGCCCAUGCCUGCUCUGUGGUUUUCAGCAAAGCGGACCUUUCCAAAAGACCUCCAACGGGGACUUCCUGGAUGUGAGAACACUAACCAAUUCUCGUUCCUCUCAUCUUUUGCUUUAUUCCUUCCUUCCACGCUGUUAUUGCGAAAAACUGGCAGUUAAAUUCAAUUGAUUCAAAAUAUUCGGGAUCCAUAUGGCCGCCAACCCUGGAGCUGAAGCGGCGAUAGCGCCUCACUGCUGUUUUCAAGCAUUUGCCUCUCCUCCAGUCCCCAGAUGGUGGGAGUAACAUUUAAACCUCCUUUUCUCUGCCUUGUACAAUAGACCUUGGCACCAUUUCAACUGUUUACUCCGGUAAUUAACAGCUCUGAUACCACAACAAUUACAACUCCUACACUCUCACCACAAUAAUGCUAUGAAUUAGUGAGAGCUAAUGGCUGGAAGGUAGAGUGUUUCCAGACUGUGGGAUCUGUGCAUUUUUAGAAUAAAAUAAAAGGUACAAACAGCACGCUUGCAGUAGACAAUGAUUACCUAGUAAUUAGUUUACACAAAGCUUCCUAUUUAAUGGCAAAACGCUGUAAUUAACAUGUGACAGAAAAUCAAAGGGUACUUUGUAAGCAUAUUAAAAAUUAACACUGCAGGCCCAUAGCUUUAUGUACUGAUUAGAAGCAUAUUAAAUCAAUAGGACACACAAACCAACAGCUUGUGUAGCUGAUUAUUAUAGGUCCUCAGAAGGGGUACCCUGGCUUUCAUUUCACUUGGGGAGGCAAUUUUCCUUCUCCUGUCAUCUUCCUCAGGCACAGAGAAACACCUCAAACUCAACCCUGGCAGCUUCAUGAAAAUAACCACUGAACUGGAAGAAAACAUUCUAAGUCAUUCUCAGAGAUGAAGACAAAUAUGUAAAUGAUUAAGACUUUCCAAUGAUUGUGGUGACGUGCUGCUACACUAAUUAGAAAAUACACCAACUGGAACCAGAAAAUAAAGCCACUGGGUUGCAAUCUUCCGGUCAGAAUAAUCUCUACUUUGUCAAGCCUCUUUAUUCAACUCAUAGAAAGUUCAAAUAAAUGGAACUGUUUUAUAUUUCUAAAUGAUAAGAAAGCAGGCUGCUAUGAAGACUUAUUCUUUCCAAGGCACUGUCUGGGUAAAGCAUAGGCUGGGAACAACUGGAUCAACCAACAUUCUGUAUCUUCAACAGCCACAACCCCAUAUAAUGAUGGCUGAUGGACAUAGACAGCAAUAUCCUGGAAGCCUACCAGAGCCUAAAGAACCUUCUGAAUCACCAAAGAAAGAUUAAGUUGUAUGUACUUGUUCAAUGUUACCUGUAUUUUGUUAUACAAUUUUAUGGUAAUAAUAACAACAAUAAUAAUAGGUAGCAUUUCUUAAAGUCUUAUUAUGUGCUAAGCACACUGCUAGCCAAUUCAUAGAAUUAUCUCAUUUACUUGUCACCACUUCCCCAUGAGACAGGUACUAAUCUCUCUUUACAGAUAGAGAAAGGGAGACUUGGAGAGCUGAAGUAAUUUGCCUAUGGUUAUCCCCCAGGGAGCAUGGGAGUCUAACCUAGGUGUCCCUGGCUAUGGAACCCCAGGAAGCCAAACUACCUCUUAGUUACCCUGAAUGACUAGCCUGUUCCAACACUCAUUCUGCUUAAAAGGCAGUUUACUAUGUCAACCUGGACUAGGAGACUAAAAAAAUUAAAACAAAAACAAAAUAUUUGGUUGCUUAUUUUUUUAAAAAACAGGGUGUUUCUGCUUUUAGAGAUAGGAGUCUUGUUCUGUCACCCAGGCUGGAGAGUGGUGGUGCAGUCAUGGCUCAUUGCAGCCUCAAACUCCUGGGCUCGAGUGAUCCUCUUUCUUCAGGCUCCUAAGUAGCUGGAACUACAGGCACACACCUAAUUUUUAAAUUUUUUGUAGAGAUAGGGUCUCACUAUAUUGCCCAGGCUGGUCUUGAACUCCUGGCCUCAAGCCAACUCCCACCUCAGCCUUCCAAAGUGUUGGGAUUACAAAAUAUUACAGGAGUGAUCGACUGCACUGGGCUAAAAACAAGGGUUUUAAAUGCUUACCAUAUUUUUAAUGCUACAUCUGAUUGUGAAGGUGGGCUACUCAAAGCUUUUUGGGAAUUUACAGGCUCACUAAAAUGAUCACGAUAGUGUAUUAAAUUGAGAAAGGCAUUGAAAAUCUGUCAUUCCCAUGAACAAUCAAAGGGUGAUGUCUAAAAUUCUCUCUCAUCACCCAUGCACAUAACCAGGUAUAUGAGGCAGUUGGGUUGCAAGAGCUGAAUCCUAGAAACUCCUAGGCAGGGCUCUUCCUCUCCAGCUCUGAUGUGUGUGUAUUGAUGGCCCCCUACACCUCCCAGUUUGCUGCCUUGUGGGAAAAGGAGACCAGCUCUUCUGUUAUCUAGGAAAGGGAAGAAAUUUGAGAGCAGUGGCCUCUGUGUUCCAGGAAUAUUUGCGUUUCCCACAAAUCUCUGGAAAGCAGAAAGCUUGCCACAAGGGCAGCACACGGUAUGAGUCACAAAGGCAAGGACCUGAGGGAGAACACUUCCCAGGACUUUCAAAUAAGGUCUUUCCUAAAUGUACUUGGCUCGGUGUGGCAAAAGCACUGGGCUAGCAGCAGUCAGAUGUGGGUUCAAAGCAAGGCACAAUCAUUUAUUAGCUAUAAAUUUGGGCAAGUCACUUCUUGAGAAUAAGUUUCUUCAUCUGUAAACAGAAUAAUAAUACCUUCCUUGUAUCUUAAAUUGGUGUGGAAGUAAAUGAGUAAAAACCUCAGGGUUUUUCUGAGUUUAAAUGAGACAAUUCAUGUAACGUGCUUAGCACAAUACCUGGUACCCGGUAGGUACUCUGCAGUAUUUAUUGAUGAUGAUGAUGAUGACAAAGAAAUACAAGGAAAUGUCAACACCUUAACAGUGCAUUCAUAGAUCUACAAAAUGCUUAAUCUCAGUGUUCUGGCAACCACUAAAUACAUAAAGAUAAUCUAAGACAUCAAGAUUUCAACAUAUAAAAAUAAAUAUAAAAACAAGUGAACAAUUAUCAUUUAUAUGUAGUUUCAUGACUGGAAAAAAUAAUAACCUAGAUUUUUUUCUUAACCUAGAAAAUCUAGAUUAAAAAAUAAAGAUCUUGCAUUUUUGAUAUAAAACACAAAUAAUAAGGACAUGAAAAAAGAAUAUCCCUUGCUAGUAAUCAAAUAAUAGCAAUGAGAAGCUGGAUUCUUAUAUCUAAAAUAAAAGUGCAAAUAGUUCAUAAUAUCCAUUGGUGGUAAGGUUGUGGUAAAACUAGUAUUCUUAUUCUCUGCCAGUUGCUUUGGAAAUUGGUACUAUCUUUUUAGGAAUAUGGCAAUAUGUAACAAAAGCCAUAAAAUAUUCUACUCCUGGGUCUUUCUCCUCAGGAAGUAACUCAACAGAAGCAAAAAGAGGUGUAUACAAAAACCAAAUAUAAAAACAAACAAAUCUUUCCUCCCUCUUUCCUCCCACUGCCAAAAAAUGAAAGCUGGGAAUAGCCUAAAUUUCCAACUUAGUUGAAUUGUUCAAUAUAUUAGAGUUCAUCAAUAUGAGAGAAUAUUAUGCAUCUAAUAAUUGUGAUGACUAUGUAUAAACAUGGAAAAUAAGAUCUGAUGUUUAACUAGCAUAUACACUAUUAUUGUAGCUACGAGAAAGAAAUACUGCAUAUUUAGAAAUUAAUAUACAAAAAUGAAAACAACUAUGUUUGGGGACAGUGAUUAUGUACUUUUAAAUUUUUUUAAAUCUUGUUAUCUUUAAACUUUUCUAAAAAUGAUGUGAUUACAAGCAAUGGCUCUUUGGGAUCACCUAAUAAAUACCUACUAAAUUCUAGACGGGACAACGAGCUCUGCCAUCCUGCAAUGGCUCCGGUGACCUAGUUCCAGGGCCAUUCUGAAUGGACAGAGGUCUUCACAAUGGAGGUGGAGAUGCAGGGAGCUCUAUGGCAUGAAAUGGUUAAUGAUUCUCUUUUGUAAUUGUUUUCUGUUUGCUGCCUUAGUUCUAAAAGGAGGCAAAACAACUGUGGUUUAUUCUACCUUUUCCAGGCAUAGUUCUUCUCCUACCUUUGUGAUCCCCAAAUUAAUAUCAAAUGUCUAAUUAGUUUUUUUCUCCAUUGGUGAUCCCCAAAUUAAUAUCAAAUGUCAGACAAAGUAAAUCAAAGUACAAAUAAAGGUAAAACUGCUCUUGCAAAGGGCUAAAAUAGCAAUGUUUACUAGAAGCAUUCAAGAGCCAGUUCAAUUUCCUAUUUCUCAUUAAGUGGUAAAAUAGUAAUGCCAAGACCACAUCCCAGAAUCUCCAGGGUAACAGAGGCGCAACGAAGGGCUGCAGAGAAACUUGAAAGUAAACUGGCUUAGUUCUUUACACACAGAAAUUGUUCUACAAAGAUCUCUUGCAAAGCAGUGUCACCAGUAGCAUCACUGCCACUAAGCCAAUGUCCCAGGAAUUGAGGAAAGGAAGACACCCUUAAAGAAAAAAAUGGAAAAAAGCCACAAGGACUGGUACCACAGUAAAUGUCUGCCUGGGUCUCCCUAAACUGUCUUAGGUGAGCUUACCCAGGAAUGUUUCUCCCCUACAUGUUUGCCUUCCUUUGUUUAAGCCUUUCUUCCUCCUAAAUGAAAAUAAAUACCCCCGACUGGGGAACGUGG
rnacentral:lncRNA from 1 species